rnacentral:rRNA from 1 species
GCUUACGGCCAUACCACCCUGAGAACGCCCGAUCUCGUCUGAUCUCGGAAGCUAAGCAGGGUCAGGCCUGGUUAGUACUUGGAUGGGAGACCGCCUGGGAAUACCAGGUGCUGUAAGCU